rnacentral:rRNA from 1 species
UACCAGACUCCUACGGGAGGCAGCAGUGGGGAAUAUUGCACAAUGGGGGAAACCCUGAUGCAGCGACGCCGCGUGAAGGAUGAAGUAUUUCGGUAUGUAAACUUCUAUCAGCAGGGAAGAAAAUGACGGUACCUGACUAAGAAGCCCCGGCUAACUACGUGCCAGCAGCCGCGGUAAUACGUAGGGGGCAAGCGUUAUCCGGAUUUACUGGGUGUAAAGGGGGCGCAGACGGCGACGCAAGCCAGGAGUGAAAGCCCGGGGCCCAACCCCGGGACUGCUCUUGGAACUGCGUGGCUGGAGUGCAGGAGGGGCAGGCGGAAUUCCUGGUGUAGCGGUGAAAUGCGUAGAUAUCAGGAGGAACACCGGUGGCGAAGGCGGCCUGCUGGACUGCAACUGACGUUGAGGCCCGAAAGCGUGGGGAGCAAACAGGAUUAGAUACCCCGGUA